CGUGUAGGCGGUCAGGUAAGUGGAAUGUGAAAUGCCCCGGGCUCACCCGGGGACCGGCAUCCCAAACUGCCUGGCUUGAGUAUGGGAGAGGAUGGAGGAAUUCCUGGUGUAGCGGUGAAAUGCGUAGAUAUCAGGAGGAACACCGGUGGCGAAGGCGUCCAUCUGGCCCAAUACUGACGCUGAGGCGCGAAAGCUAGGGGAGCAAACG
rnacentral:rRNA from 1 species